rfam:Candidatus Parvarchaeum acidophilus ARMAN-5 ARM5contig_1656, whole genome shotgun sequence.
GCUGGGAUAGCGCAGCCUGGUAACGCGUCGGUCUCGAGAACCGAUUUCCGUAAGGAUUCGCAGGUUCAAAUCCUGCUCCCAGCG